ACCGGAGGAAGGUGGAGCGACGUCAAAGUCAGCAUGACCCUUUAUGUCCUGGGCUACACACACGCUACAAUGGGCAGCACAAUAGGUAGCCAAACCGCGAGGUGGAGCGAAUCUAGAAAAGCUGUCCUCAGUUCAGAUUGCAGGCUGCAACCCGCCUGCAUGAAGAUGGAGUUGCUAGUAAACGCGCGUCAGCAAUAGUGCGUUGAAUACGUUCCCGGGUCUU
rnacentral:rRNA from 1 species